UUCAGCCAGGGAAAUCCCUCUACAAUACUAUGAGAGAACUUGUUGAAAAUGCUCUUGAUUCAGUAGAAUCCAUAUCUGAGCUUCCUGUAGUAGAAGUAACAAUGUGCAAUCACUGGAGCUAUAACAACUCCUCUUGAUGUCAUAAAAACUAGAUUAAUGGUUCAGGGGUCAGCAAACCAGUACAAAGGUAUAUUUGAUUGUGUUAGGACUAUCAUUAGAGAAGAAGGGACUCGUGCUCUUCUAAAGGUAUGCUCUUCCACGCUACGCCUUUUAUCCCAUAAGAUGCAAUUCAAAGUAUAGUAAUCAUUCUUUGUGUUCUUUUCUCUCGUUGCUCUUUUCAAUUUACAUGAUAGCAUGGGAAACUAUUAAGAAAAAUGUCCUAAUUUUGUUAAGAUAGAUAGCAUUUCUAACUUACGGACAAUGAGGGUCAUAUUUGAAUAGGAAUUGACUUAAAUUAAAAUUAUA